GGUAUGUCGGUUCAUAAAGACGCCUGAUGUCGGGACGGUAAAUGCACGUCUACAAGAUAAUGCGGAGUAAACAGAUGGUAAACGUAAUUUCCGGACACAGAUGCGACUUGCAAGGGUCAAAAUCUUUAAAUUAUGAUCUCUGUGUGCAUGCGAUUAUCUUUAGCCGACUUGUGAAAUGUCCAAACAACAUCAACUGCUUCCCAAGAUGAUAACACGGACGAUAAAGGAAUUAAGAGUAUGUCUGCUUCACUACGAUUGACAAAACUUGCACAUCUACUACUUUCAAGCUGGUGAAAGCACGACUUCAAGAUGUAAGCUAAGAAAGAAGAUGGUAAUUUCCGGCCACAAGUGUCAAAAUCUUGAAAUUAGGGUCGAAGAGAAAUAUACGUCUCCUUGCGGUAAACCAGAAUACAGCACGGCAUUUUGCUUCAUAUUCGUGUUAUUCAAAAAACAACAACAGUUUAAAGCCAAAGGAACCCAAUCUAACAAAUGUCAGUCGUUGGACAUUCUAAAUCAUGAUCUGUUGGAAAUUCUCCCCUUUGCUGAUGAAAUACCUUCUAUCAUUUAAUGGAUAUUUAAGUAGAACAGAACGGAACAGAACAGAACAGAACAGAACGGACCAAAACAGAACUCUCAGUCAGCAUUUACAUCUCGGUAAACGGCAUCGAUAUUGCCAUUUAAUUUAUGAUAUACGAUUUAUAACUGGUAUUCUGCGGAUUCUGAACUUAAUGCUCCGUAAUUGAUUAAUUGACAUUUUCUUGACAAAAUAUUGAUAAAUCAGUUGAUAGACCGAUACCGAAGUUGGAUUUUGCUGUUAUCCGAAUUCAGAAAGCAGCUUAACACAAUAAGUACAAUGAUUAUCAAGAUUUAUAAAAAAUGUUUCACCUAGAGUUAUUUUGACAUAGGAAAUUCUACACGUCUGACAAAACGGAAGUAAAGGCAUGACGUCAUUUAACCGGAAAUAUAACACAAAACCUGGACUCGGCAUAUGGAUUCUCCUUUUCGUUUGCCUAAUUUUCUUAAAAUAUCUAUGGGUUUGAAAACUUAAGAUUUUCUCAUUUUGAGCAAAAAACAACAAUAACCACAACGACAAAACCACCAUAAUGUAAAUUCUGUAUGUUUUGUGCAAAUUUAUCAAGAGGAUACAUGUAUAUAAAUGUGUACAUGAUAUUUUAAAUUAAUUGUUAAGAAUAUUUUUUACAUUUGUGAUAUAAUAUAUGAAUCUAAUAUAAUGAAGUUAUACAUAUCUGUGUUUUAUUUGAUAAUUGCAACUUUUUGGUACCUCGGACAGUGUCUUGGAUACCUUAACAUCAUUAGGCUCGUUUCGUGCAAGUAACUGACAUAACGGGAACAUUUUGAGGAUGAAUUCUUUUCAGAAUUAUUCUGGAGACAAACGCUUCAUCAUGAAUUAGAGUUUUGAAGUGUUUUUUAAUACUUCAUGACAGGUCCAUUCCACCACAUUUUAGACUCGUACCAUCACCGUCCAGUUGCGUCAAUUAAGUGUCGUGAACAUUGCAUGCCCCUAAUUUGAUAGCGAGAUCGGCGGCCAUAAAUCUAUCUUAUUAUUGCCUUCCUGUCGGACAUGCUUAAACAAAUGGAAAAAGAAAAAAAAACACUGUAUUAACUACGGAGGGUUAUGGUAUUUUCUUUAUUACGCAGAUAAUACACAGGAAGCGUGAUAGCAUUAGGUGCACGCAGCAGUUUGAUGAC
rnacentral:lncRNA from 1 species